AAGUUUUCAAUUUUGUUUGGUAUGUUCUGCAUUCUUAAUGCCACAUUAACUGAACGAUAUACAACUUUUUGUUAGCUUCAGUAUUGUAAAUCAAUUUAGCGGACAAACAAAAACAAAAUAAUCCAUCAUGGGCCGCGCGACAGCAGACAAUGGAAUUGUAAAAGUCUGUAAGAACCCCCGAAACACAAUGAGACAAGUGCAUGGCAAAUAUUUGUAAAAUGUUUGAGCUCAACAAUGGAUAUAUACAUACAUACAUAUAUACUACUGCAAAAGAAAAUAAAAAAACAGAGUACAGAGAAAUUAUAUUCAAAUAGGAAAUAUAAUAAAAUAUAUUUAUUUAUUGAUUCAAUUCGAUUCUAGGCAUAAAUCAAACACCAAACAAAUUUACACAUAUUUAGAGAGGAUAGAGUUGGAUAGAAUGUUUAUGAUAUUGAUGAUUAUUUAUCUGUAUAUGAAUGUAUAUUGCUUAGAUCGUUCAAAUAAGUAUUCCAGCAAACCCAAUAAAACAACAAAUAGUGAUUGUUAUAUGAUAUUCAUAUAAGAAUUAUCUGUAUGUAUUUACUAAUUGUUUCUUCAAGUUGUUUGCAACCAAAUGCCACUGAGAAUCAACUCAGAAACUCACACAGAAACACACUAGAAACAAAGAAAAGCCGAAAACCAAAACUGGGUACCAAUCAAAUAUAAAUAAAGCUAUUUUUAGAGAAAC
rnacentral:lncRNA from 1 species